GGGCGAGUGGUGAAAUUGGCAGACACGCAGCGUUCAGGGCGCUGUGGCCGUAAGGUCGUGCGGGUUCAACUCCCGCCUCGCCCA
rnacentral:tRNA from 1 species